ensembl:lncRNA
CGUAACCGCCGGUCCCUGAGCUCGUCCCAUCAGUUGCUCAACAACCUGCAGCCUGGUGCAGUUUCCACAAUCGAACCAUGGAGCCCGGGGCAAAAUACCGAGCAGCCCCAGCGUAGACACCCCCAGCACACGCGUCCAGGAAUUAUAACCAGAGCGCAGAGAAGGCAGCGGGAGGGUGGAGACCCCGGCCAAGGAAACAACGAAAAGUCUCCUUCCCCCUUUUCUUCUGCUACACAGCCAUGAAGAAAAGCGACGGGGUGGUGGGGUGGCGGGGGGAGCCAAAUGCUUGUCUUCCUUUACGUUUCCUCGCUUCACACACACCAAGGGAGUAAAAACGGAGCAAAGAGUGGAGGGUUCAAAUGUCUCUCCCAGUCCACAGUUGCACAACUUCGGAGUCAGGCUCUGGCUCCAGCAGCAGCCGAGGGACCCCAGCGGCAGCUAUUAACAUGCGGCAGUCAUAGCUGGGGCUGCUUUUCCUCCUGCUGCUGCUACCGCUUAAGGAAACACGCUGCUGAAGAGACCAAAAAUCUGCCACCAUCCCCCCAGUCGAUCUUUAUAUCCAGUUCUCCCACCCCACCCCCUUUCUUUUUCUUCUUCUUCCUCGUCCUCCCCUUUCCGCUGGAGAGCGGGAGCGAUGGAAAAGGUAGGGGGAGCCGCGAGGGCUAGGGGUGGAUCCUUCUCCGCCAAACCCUCCUCCUUCUCCUCUCGGGGUUCUCUCGCCGCCGAGGGUCUCCCCCACGCGUCCGAAACCUCCGCCGAGAGCGGGAGCGAGGGACCCACAAACUCCUUCCCAGGUGCACAGCGGGGGCUUGCCGGCGGAGCGGGAGCCCGGCCGCCUAGGGCUGCUUCCCGGGGGCCGCGGAGCCCCGAGCCCGGAGGGUGGCUGAUUAGCUCGUCGGCCCGGCCGGGCAGCUGCGGACAUGUGGGAGCUUCAUCGCGCGGCCCCGGGCUCGGCGCUGCCGCCGCUGCCUCCGCCGCCUCUUCGCUUCGUUCUCUUCUUCGACUCCCCGCGAGGGAGCAAGGUUCUGGCGCUCUCCAGACACGCACACUCACACACACGCACACACGAGCGAGCUUCUGCCAAAGCCAGCCGUGCAACCCGCGCGCGCGCACACCCGGAGAAAGAGGACGGAGGCAAAAAGAGAAGAAAGAAAGGGGAGGGGGCGAGUCACAGGCGGCAGCUGCGGGAGCUGAGGCCACGAGCAGUCCGGGAAAAGGCGGCAGCGGCUGCGGCGGCGCCCACCCGGACCAGCGGCACCUUCUGCAUCCCCGCUCCUGGGAACUGGGGCGAGCAGACAACCGGGCGACGCGCCGAGAACCGGUCGGAGCGCGGGCGCGCCGAGGCCGAGCAGCCUGCGUGCCGCGGACGCAGCCGGGGCCCUAGCCGAGCCCAGAAUGAGCCGCGGGCAAGCGAGCGCCGAGAGCCGAAGAGGGGGCUCGCGCCGCGAGAAGGGGUGGCGGGAGGCAAAACCCGGAUCUGGAGUGCGCUCGGGCUCCGCCGCGCGGGCUCCACCUAGCAGCUCGACAAACGCUUGGAGAUGUCACUUCUACAGAAAUAAACAGAGGUAUGGACAAGGCUUUUGCACAGUGGCAUACCUCUCAGUUGUAAUUGUUGUAUAAAGAAAAUCUCAUCAAGUGUAAGGAGAUGUAACCUAAGGUAUUGGAGGAAGGAGUGGUAGAUACCUAAGAAUAGCUCCUUUAACCCUGAUUCCACCACAUGGGAUGCUAACAUAAGUCUGUCCUGUCUUCCAGCAGCUGGAUUCCAGGGUAUCUUUUGAGAAAUGUUGACCUCUGGACUUGCAUUAUACAGAAAUGAAAGAAAUGUGUGUGUGUUUUUAAAAGUAGUGAUUAAGGGUUUGUCAGGCUUUCUACUAUUCUUUCAUCAUGUACUGAAACCUAUGAAAGUGACAAAGUGUGUCACUAGAAGGCUUUUGUUAAAAUGUAAACAAGUAAGAUAUUCUUAAUGAUGUGCUUAAAAUUUUCAAACCAGUAACUAAAAAAAAAUUUUCCCAACUUUUUAAAUUGAAGUAUAGUUGAUGUACACUGCUAUGUUAUUUUUCAGGUGUACAAUGUACUGAUUGGACAUUUAAAUAAAUACAUUA